GACGAACGCUGGCGGCGUGCUUAACACAUGCAAGUCGAACGGUGAAGGGAUCAGCUUGCUGGUUCUGGAUGAGUGGCGAACGGGUGAGUAACACGUGAGUAACCUGCCCCCUUCUUCUGGAUAACCGCAUGAAAGUGUGGCUAAUACGGGAUAUUCUGGGUCUGUCGCAUGAUGGGUCUGGGAAAGAUAUUGUUUCGGUGGGGGAUGGGCUCGCGGCCUAUCAGCUUGUUGGUGGGGUGAUGGCCUACCAAGGCGGUGACGGGUAGCCGGCCUGAGAGGGUGGACGGUCACACUGGGACUGAGACACGGCCCAGACUCCUACGGGAGGCAGCAGUGGGGAAUAUUGCACAAUGGGCGCAAGCCUGAUGCAGCGACGCCGCGUGAGGGAUGGAGGCCUUCGGGUUGUAAACCUCUUUCGCCAGUGAAGCAGGCCUGCUCCUUGUGGGUGGGUUGACGGUAGCUGGAUAAGAAGCGCCGGCUAACUACGU
rnacentral:rRNA from 1 species